rnacentral:rRNA from 1 species
CAGCCGCCGCGGUAAUACGAGGGGUGCAAGCGUUAUUCGGAAUUACUGGGCGUAAAGGGUGUGUAGGUGGUGUAUUAAGUCUGUUGUUAAAUCUCUCGGCUUAACCGGGAAAUCGCGAUGGAAACUGGUACGCUAGAGGAUGAGAGAGAGAAGUGGAAUUCUUGGAGUAGCGGUAAAAUGCGUAGAUAUCAAGAGGAACACCGAUGGCGAAAGCAGCUUCUUGGCUCAUUCCUGACACUGAAACACGAAAGCGUGGGGAGCAAACAGGAUUAGAUACCCUGGUAGUCCACGCUGUAAACGAUGAUCACUAGACGUCAGUUCGGCUCUGCUGAAUUGGUGUCGUANAUGACGCGUUAAGUGAUCCGCCUGGGGAGUACGGUCNCAGGUUAAGAACUCAAAGGAAUUGACGG